rnacentral:rRNA from 2 species
GGGGGAGCGCGGCUAUCUGCAGUCGACGAAACUUUCUUACACCGAAUGCUUGCAUUCACCGUAAGAAGCCGAUUGGCGGACGGGUGAGUAACACGUGGGUAACCUGCCUAAAAGAAGGGGAUAACACUUGGAAACAGGUGCUAAUACCGUAUAUCUCUAAGGAUCGCAUGAUCCUUAGAUGAAAGAUGGUUCUGCUAUCGCUUUUAGAUGGACCCGCGGCGUAUUAACUAGUUGGUGGGGUAACGGCCUACCAAGGUGAUGAUACGUAGCCGAACUGAGAGGUUGAUCGGCCACAUUGGGACUGAGACACGGCCCAAACUCCUACGGGAGGCAGCAGUAGGGAAUCUUCCACAAUGGACGCAAGUCUGAUGGAGCAACGCCGCGUGAGUGAAGAAGGUCUUCGGAUCGUAAAACUCUGUUGUUAGAGAAGAACACGAGUGAGAGUAACUGUUCAUUCGAUGACGGUAUCUAACCAGCAAGUCACGGCUAACUACGUGCCAGCAGCCGCGGUAAUACGUAGGUGGCAAGCGUUGUCCGGAUUUAUUGGGCGUAAAGGGAACGCAGGCGGUCUUUUAAGUCUGAUGUGAAAGCCUUCGGCUUAACCGGAGUAGUGCAUUGGAAACUGGAAGACUUGAGUGCAGAAGAGGAGAGUGGAACUCCAUGUGUAGCGGUGAAAUGCGUAGAUAUAUGGAAGAACACCAGUGGCGAAAGCGGCUCUCUGGUCUGUAACUGACGCUGAGGUUCGAAAGCGUGGGUAGCAAACAGGAUUAGAUACCUGGGUAGUCCAAAA